rnacentral:sRNA from 1 species
AUGUUUUAGGUAUAAGAUUUUGAGUCUUUAUGUUUUUCCUCGAGUCUUUUUAGUGUCUUUUCAGGUAUUUUAUGCAAUGGGACAACAAUGGAGAUAAGAAGACAUUUUGGAGCAAAAGCUAAGGAAAAGGAAGCUAAGGACGAUUUUGGUUCAGGAAUCAGCGAGGAGUGUCGAUU